AGUUAUGAGGCCAUUGUCACAACAUAUCCUAAGGGACUGAAGUUUCCUCCAAAGAAGUCUCACGGUGGAGGAAAGAGAAAGCCUGAAGCCUGUUGCCAGCAAGAAGAGGGACCUGCCUCUCAGGACACAGCACAGUGCUGCUAACUGCACAGGGAGGGAGCCGGGAGCUGAAGGUGUGCUGUGUCAGUGACAGAAUGGAAAACCAAGAUAGCAACCCUGACAAGAUCCACCCCUGAGGAUUCUGGGAUGCCUGAUCCUGCCUCAGACUGUUCCAAUGAUGUUUCCUCAAGAGACUUGCUUCCAGAACAGCUUUAGAAAGCUGCUGACCCCAGUUGAUCUUAAUUCGUCCAGCUGUACAGACUGAGCUAGUCAGAACUUCCCUUAAGCCUGAACUUUCCCAGCAUAUAGACACUGGACAACAAAAGCUGCCAGCUAGCUUUCUUUUAACUUAACCAUUUGUCCUUUCCUUUGAGCCCCCGAAAAGGAAUUCUUCAUCCAAAUUCAGCAGGAAGCAAUUAUCGGAAGACUUUCAUCUUAGUCCCUUAAGUUUGAUCUUUUUUGACAUCGAGGCGUAUCAGCUCCUGACAGCAUCCCAUUCAACUUGUGGAGGAAGAUGAUGAACAUCAAAGGACCUCCAUUUGGAGAUGGCUUCAACUGUGGCAGGCCAGCCACUGGGCAAAGAAAAUACCCUAACUUCAACCUCAGACAGAAUGCUAUCCAAAAAGGGCAAAUGGAUGCAGGGAAGUUGGUUGCCAAGUUCUGCCAAUACAGAGUAAGCAAGUCCUUCAUAAUUCCUGCUUCACAAAGGUCUGUCAGAUAUUGUGGGCCAGAAGGCUGAAGAUGAUGCUCCAACAUUUAGAGAAUAUUGGGGAGUGUCUAGGCAGUUAGCUGUCUCUGUCAUUUUUAAUUCUUGGAAGCUGUGUCCUGUGCUUCCUGCACACUCAGGUAAUAUUUCUUCCUUCUCAGGUCUCUGGUGGGGUUGAAGACUAGAUAGUCAUAGUCUUACUAUAAGCUUAAGUUGUUUAGGAUUUAAGCAGAUGUUUUAGGUCUAAAAUAAUGUUUUUAGAAAGGUAAUACAAGUUAAGAUAGAACAUUAUUUUGAGAUAGAACUCUAAACUCACCAAGAUGGGGAAGGUGAUCAAAUACUUUAUCUAAGUUGCCAAAUAUAAACAGAUUGGACAUUAUGAAUAUAAAUCUUACCUAAUAGUUUUC
rnacentral:lncRNA from 1 species